rnacentral:rRNA from 1 species
ACUCCUACGGGAGGCAGCAGUGAGGAAUAUUGCGCAAUGGGGGAAACCCUGACGCAGCAACGCCGCGUGAAUGAUGAAGGCCUUCGGGUUGUAAACUCCUUUUAUAGGGGAAAAUAAUGAUGGUACCCUAUGAAUAAGCCACGGCUAACUCUGUGCCAGCAGCCGCGGUAAU